CUUGUUCAUCAGGCUGCUGAUUUAUAGAAAUGGUCGAGACUUUGACUUUACGCCUGCGCCUGAAAAGGCACAAGAUUUACUUCUAAUCUUAGCGAGAAGAAUGCUUAACCUUGUUUAGUUCACGAUCUGAGCUGACACUGUGCGACGCUGUGUUGGGCUAUAAUCAGGCUGAUAUCAUGUAGUCUGAACCCGGCAUAAGAGAAGUCAGGUUUCAGGGCAAGUUAAACAGUGCGUGUCCUGCUUCAUGUAAAACACAGCUACAGAGGCUUCUCCACCCUGACGAGGAACAGAUUUCUGAAACUGAAUACUUCUUGUGUUGUUCAUCUUUAAAGAUACUGAAAAUUGUGCAAACCAUUGCCAGUCAGCAGCUGUAUCAGACGCCUGUCUGAACAUGUUGUUGUUGCUAAGGCACGACCAGAACAGCUGAUUUGUAAAUGGUUUGUAAGGCAGAGGACAACUGAACCUGCCCCCCGUCUGGUGUGCUGUUUUAGAGAGCGGUCCGGAAAACGGAAGUCGCCAUCUUGUUUACUGCGGUGUGGACACGCUACGUUUCCCGAUGUUUAUGGACUGUUUUGGAAGAUGCUGACAGAUAAACAGGCUGUGUCUCAUGAUAGCCUUGAGAGAAACCCGUUGGAUGUCAUGUAGUUAACGUUCCGCCGUUAACACUGUUUGUGCUCCGGAACAGAUGCACACAAUAAAGACCCCCAAAAGAUAUUUCUGUGUCCUGUGCUGAUCCAACUCCGCCAGGCUACAGAUAUAUAUUGUGAAAUGGUUUCACUGGUCCAGCCCACUUGAAGUCAGACUGAGCUGUCUGUGGCCCCUGAACUGAGCUGGACAGACGACUUCCCUGUCGUAUAUCUGUACUGCUCCUCGGCUGGUGUUUCUAAGGUGUGAUGGUGAAGGCGGGGGCCCAUCGAUACUCACCUGCUUGUAGUCGGAGCGAAACAUUGAGAGCAGUCUGGAUGAUGCACAGCAGGCCAAAGCUGACUCCCACCAACCACAAGACUUUUGACCCUCCUGCAGGAAGAUACACACACACACACACACACACACCAUAACUUUAUUAUUACUUUGAGGAAGUGGUUUUUGUCGCGCAUCAUUAGAUUCAGUUAAUUCCUUUUAAUAAACUUCAGCUUUAUGAAGCACCUUCAGUUUACAACAAUCACAUCAUAUUUUAGCACGUCCUCCACGACUCUGUGUUUUAUGUCUGAGAAUAAUAACCAAUGAUGAUGUUCAGCAGAAGAACAAAGAGGAAGUGGUUAUAAAUACAGGUUUCUAUGGAAAUGACCAAAACUAUCACUGACGUCACAGUUAUUAGGAAUAAACUAACAAACCUUACGUGUGAUUAUUUUUAUACAGAGCAUGUAAAGUCCUGAAAGGUGACACUUUUUAUCCUGCGUGCACAAGAUGUUUAACAUGUCGGAAAAAAACAAAACACUUUUCAUGAGCUGAGUGGGUGGUGAGGUCGUUGCAGCUUCCAAAUAAGUUCAACAAUAUCUGCCCACAGACGCCAUAACAGGAGAUAUGAUGAACUCACUGUCUGUGGUUUAACUGUACUCACUGUUUGAUGAUCAGGGUGCUGUGGUUGGUUUAAGAGUCAACUGAUUUGCAGGAUGAUGCAAUCAACUAUUUGUCUUGAUUGUUGCAUUUACAAAAUAAAAAAACAAAAAUCUCCAAAUAAACAGGCCCUCACAAAUCAAAGUUAAAUGAACGGGGUUUUAAAGGACUUCAUCAAACAAUAAAAACCAAGAUCAACCAAACACACGGCGGGUAAAGACUGUAACCCUGUGGUGUCUUCACGCUCCUCGCUCACUUCAGCACACCUGCCUUCAGUUAAAGGUUCCUGAGAGGCCAGGUGGUCAGGUGACGCAUUAAAGAGACUCAAAAGAAACUAGGACUUGCUAGAAAUGGCUCUGACAAAGGAAAUGACUUGUUUGCACAUAAAGAUAAAAAAUGUCACCUUUCUGGACUUUAGGGGUUCCGUACUUUUAUUUUGCUGCAUCUCGUCUUUAAAUUUUUACAGUGAACAUUUGAAAGGAGCCACUGUUACUAUAAAUAUAAAAGUACUGUUACCACACUGUGAAAAUAUUCCAGCAAAAUGUACUUGAAGAGUCCAACAAACCCUGGACACCCAGGCCGUCCCGGAGCGUCAACAAGGAUAACUAGAGCGUAAUAUUUGUAAUAUUUUGGUCAUAUGUGACGAGUUGGGAUGAGAACGUGUCGGUACAGAUGUGGUGUAUUUUAACUCCUUUAUACACUGCUUGGUAGUUUAAUCUGCAGCGAUGCAUCAUGGUCCAUGAGAUCAUCAUAUGUUUGUGGCGUGGCUGUCCUGUGAGAACCACGUAUCUCUAAACUGUCAGAAAAACAGCUUGUUUGUGACGACGACUGUUCAGCUGAUCCAGGAGGGUUUUUUUAUAAUGGUAUUUUAGCGAGUGUCCUUUUUUAUGUG